rnacentral:misc_RNA from 1 species
AACGCACCUUGCACCCUUUGGUAUUCCGAAGGGUACACCCGUUUGAGUGUCAUUGUAAUCUCACUUCAAUAACUUUUGUUGUUGAAUGUGGACUUGGAUGUUGUCGUGAUCUACGACUCAUCUUAAAUGCCUGAGUGUACCCUGCUUUGCAGCGUAUCAGUGUGAUAAACAUCUUCACUGUUAAGUCUUUUGAGACACGCUUGUGUUGUGGGCUCUAUGCUUCUAACUGUCUUUGGACAAUCUCUGACAAUUUGACCUCAAAUCGGGUGGGACUACCCGCUGAACUUAA